rnacentral:tRNA from 1 species
GCAGUGGUGGUUCGGUGGUAGAAUUCUUGCCUUCUGUGCAGAAAACUCAAGUUUGAUCCCUGGCCAAUGCA